GGGGGCGGUGAGAUGCGGCGGGUGCCGACGAUCCCAGCUCCGGAGCCGGGCUGCAGCGUGCUCCUCCUGCCCUGAGGGGCUGCAGGGAGCCCUCUGCCCUCUGCUUUCCCCAGGGCACAGCCGCUGGUGCAGUUUCGGGGUGCUGGAGUACGUUUCCCGGGUAUACAAGGGGCUGCAAAAGGAGGCUUGGUUGUAGGACCAACAGCAGCCACGCAGCUCCUGAGAUAACUCCCGAGAUAGGUCCUAAGAUAGGGCCUGAAAUAACUCCUCAGAUAGGUCAUAGGAUGGGUCCUAAGAUAGGUCCCUCAUAGGCUCCACACACCCCCCCCCCCAUCUGCUCUGGGCAGCAUAAGGCCCAAUGAAGGGUCGCCAGCAGCAACGCUGCCCCUGAGGCCUCAGCAUGGAAAUAAGCACAGAGCCCUGCAAACGCCUCCCCUGAUCCAUGGGUGGAGAAAUCCCCCCCCGCCCCGGGCUGGAAGGAGCGCACGGCUCCGUGCAAAGCCCCGCAGCCCCCACCAGGAAUGCUCACACACCGCAGCGCUCUCAGCCCAUGCAGGAGCUGCUCCCCAACGUUCCCCUUUGCUUUUUAUCACCAGCCGAAGGGAAGGGAUUCGCUCCUCGCUCCCAGACAGUUCCUAUAAAGCAAACAAAGCCAAAAGCACGGAGGCCAUAGGAGCACCGGACUGCACGGUGCACAAACCCGGCACUGAGUCACCGCUUUAAACCUUAAUCCCCACCCCCGCGUUGCAUCGAAGAGGUGAAGAUGUGAUGCAAAGUUUUGACUUCAGCUGGAAAGAGGGAAUAAACCACCUCGCAUGAAGUGGGAUGCAGGGCAUGCAGCCACGGACAGCCACAGGUGAGAGGAAGGAGACUCCGAAGCCCCCCCCUGAGAUGCCCUGCAGACCUCCCCGGAUCCAAAUGGAGAGGAUGGAAGAAAGGAACCGAUUGCAUCAACACCUCGAGGGGGGGGGGGCUGCAAAGAGGGAACGUGGAUCACGCUGAAGGAGGUGGGUUUGGGCGUUCUGAAGCAGCCACCUGCAGCCCUUCUGCUCUCACUUGAUUUCGGGAGCUGCACUGAAGCCACACGAGAAGCUCUCAGCCCUCGGUUAUAAAAGCCAGGGGAGACAAAACCAGGCAGCAGAGGGGAGCACAGAAGGCACCGAGGUGAACUUUUCCAGCGCCGGAUGGAUAUUUUUACAGUGCUGUAAACCCUCUGAGGGUGAGAAUGAGAAAUGUGGGACGGCACUCCUCUGCCUGAGCUCCCCUCUCCUGGCAGAGCUAUUCCUGCACUCACCCAGGAGCAGGGAACUGCUCCCAUGACGUCAAAGCAGUUUCCCAGCAACAGCGAAGGAGGGCUGUCCACCACGGGGCUUUCCUGAAAAGCGAGCAUGGAAUCAUCCACCUACUUUCUGCAGUGUCAAGAUGCGAUAGGGCAGCACGGCAGUGGGACUUCUGCUAGCUCCCCUCGUGCUGCCGCGCUCCUCCAGGGCUCUCCCCGUGCUAAGCAGCAGCAGCAGCAGCAGCACUGGAAGUUGGCUGAGAGCACGGAUUCCUCAGCUCAGCUCACCACGAAGCCAGCUGCAAACGCUGGGUAUCGCAGCAGGGGUGACGAGCAGGAGAGGUGUUCCUGCUUAGCUGCAGCAAGAGGACCGCGGGGCUGCUGCCUGCAGGUCCUGCAGCCACAGGUGGUGGCUUCUGUUCUAAAAGAGCACUGUAAGGAGGUGAAGGGAAGGGAUGCACCGGCAGGUCUGGUGCACCAAAUAAGAGACCCUGCAGUGCUGUACGUGGCCCAGCGCUGGGAAUAGCUCCUAGCACUGAAAAUCAGAUGGAGGGAACGUUCCUUCAGCAGCGGCGCGAGGAGGAGGCAAAGGGAAUGGAUCCAACCAAACCCAGCUGAAAAACCAAACCUGCUGCAACCAAACCCAGUUUGCAGCAAGCUUUUAGACACACCGUGGGAUUAAUAUGAACACGCGGGUGCAAAUACAGCACGAGCAGCCCUACAGAACACCAAACUGAGGGAAGCAAACUCAACCUUUCCCAUGGCCAGUGAACAAGCAGCCACGUUCUGUGACGAAGCAGCCAGCUUCCAUGCAGUACAGCCCCGAAAGCACAGCCCAGCACAGCAGCACGGAGCGCUGUGCCAAAGGAAAAGGAAGAGCCCAGAGGGAGCUGCACAAAGCCCAGCCCAGGCUGGGAGAGCCCACGAGGGGAACUCCUCGCUGACACAGCACGGCAGCAAUCAGGGAUUCCCCCGCUCCUGCAGGUGCACUCUGAGCAUCACAAAAGGAAAGCUCAGUUCUGGCACCGCAUCCCCAGUGGGAGCAGAGCUGAGGAGCCGUUCCAUGACGGCACGGCGUUAAACGAAGCCCAUCGAGCAGCAGGAAUAGGCACUUACCGGAGGUGAGCGACGUCAGGUCCCCAUCCCUGAACCACUUGCCUGCUGUACCUACGCUGUACUUUGCACAGUGGUGGUGGGGGGGAGAUGAAAAGAGAAGCCUCGGGUCACUCCUGCUCAAGCCCCAGAUAUCAGGCAGCUGAGCUCUAUAAAGGAACUCACCCCUGAGGCUCCGUGCUCCCCGCAGUCACCUGUCCCCUAAUCCCCACACACCCUCCAUUGCCACAGCUGGCUCAGGAGGAAUGCUGCCGGGCUCAUUUUGCUCCCUGGAAGCCCCCAACCUGCUUCCCACCCCCCUCCCCAACGAUCGCAGCGCUGCGCCGAGCAGCUCCGAGGCAAAGCAGAGCCCAACUGUGGGGAGGGAUGGCACAGAGCUCUGCCAAUCGCCACAUGCACACCCCCUCCUGCUCUCAUUCAAACCCUUCAGUGGAACUGCCUCCGCAGAGCCCCGACAAGGCUUUAAAGACACAGCAUCUUCCUGAGCACCGUGGGGCAGGAUGCGACGGCACCGAGCACGCUUCGGAGGACCCCACGUGCAUGGAGCGAUGCAAUACAGACAGGAAGCAAGAAAUGCAAACGAGCCUGGAGAAGUUUCAGCUUUCCCCUGCAGAGCUGAUCUCCAGCAGAGAGACGCCAGGCAGAGGGCUGAGCAGGACAGAGCACGGAACCCUGCAAGCCCACGCAGCACAGAUGCACCUCCCGGCCUUCCUCCUGCAGCCACAGAGCCGCCUCGCUGCGAGGCAGCAGCACUGUGUCUCCCAGAUGCAAAGAGGGAGAUGGUUUCCUAAGCUGCACCUUUCUCCUGGGACGCAUCUUUCUCUUUAGAUGGGGACACGGCAGACCCUGGGUGGGAGGAGGAGUGUGUGGCUGCAGCCUGGGUGAGCCUCACACAGCACUGCCUUGCACACCUGGGAGUCCUCUGCUCAGGUAACGUGUGCGUGUUUACACACUCAUGCAUUGAGACCACGCUGUGCUUCACCCUGAUGGGUUUCUGGUGAAAGAAAGCUGUGGAUGUAACGCAUCAGAAGGGAAAAGCCCUCAGCAUCGUGGCAAUGACCCGGCAGGGGCUGCAGUGCCAACGUGUGUGUCAGCCCAGGACAGGGAUUCCCUGCGUGACAGACGCACACCAGGCAGCAGCAGUGUGCCCUGGGCAGGAGAGCAUCGUGGGCUCGGGCUGCACCACUCACCAGAGCAGGAAACCGCCCCUGCCCUUAGAAAAGGGAAGAGAAAAAAAAUCACACAGGCGAGCCUGGAACAGAGUCCUCACUGCACGUCAGCCAACAGCGCUCCUCUGCCAUCCGCCACACUGCACAGGGAUGGAGGAAAGCUGGGCACGCUGCAGGAAAACGGCUCCACGGACACUCAGGAGCAAAGCAGCACCUGUGGAGGCAGCGGGAUCCGUGCAGCUGGGAUGGACCACACGCUCUGAUCCUUCUGAUGGGAGCUGGUGAGAAAAGGAGACUCCUCAGCAGGGCUGGGAGUGACAGAGGAGUCCUACAGCCAACGCAGCUCUGUUAUCAGGUGUGGAGAGGCCGCGAUAAGGGAGCGAGGGGCAGAGCAAAGGGGAGCAACAGUGACUGCGGGGUGGAGAGUCCACCAGCAGAAGCCAACUCAGUCCUGGGCUGACGGGGAUGGCAGCUCAGAGCAGGAACUCUGAAUGGGCUCUGCUCUUGGACGGGAAUAACCAGCUCGAUGCCCCCAAGAAGUGGGAUCCGAGAUCCAGGAGUCGCAGCCGGCGCUGCCCACAGGAUAAAGAAAACAGAGCACCAUCAAAUUUAAUUCUAAGGGAUUUUCCAUUCAGCUCUGGCUCAGCUGAGGAUGCACACCCAUGGCAACAGCCCUUCCCUAUCCCCCCCCCAGCACCCAACCCACAGAUGUGUGCUGGCUGCAGCUGUGCCCCCGUGGCCCCUCCAAGCGUGACGUGCACCAGAUCUGUCAAUGGCUCAGGACAGACACGUGGGCAGCGAUGAGCAGCGGAGGAACGUAACGAGCUCCCAUUCAGCUCCAAACCCUGAUAAAUAAUUCAGGAAGAGAAAAUGCCGCAAUACAGAGCGCAGCACCGUUUAAAAAUAGAACGUGUGCUGCUGCUGCUGCCGCUGCUGCCAGAGGAACAGGGAGGGAGGAAAGCAGAGAGGUGGCACCAACGGAGCACGCGUUGGGUUGUUGGCCCUUCCAAUUAGGAAUCCCCCACUCUGGGCGUUACAGCGGCAGCAGCCAGGGCUGCCCCUGCUGGAGGAGAGCCCCGCAGCCAUGCAUGCAUGCAAGGAAGGGAAAAGCCUCCAGGCUGUACAGCCUGCAGCAAGAGCAGCGUGGGAGCAGGGCCGGGGUGCUGGGUGGCAUCCAGCCGUGCACAGCUCCAGAGCUCAGCUCCAUUUGCCCCAGUGUUCCCUGCAGGGCAGAGGUGAACGCUGCCGUUCUCUCCUGAGUUGUGCCACCCUGUGUGCAAAUGCUUCCACUCCGAUCUCAGAGCCACCACCAGCCGUUCCGUGCCGAUGAAUGCUUCUGCAUUGCAAAGAGCAACCUGGCACCACCAGCACCCCGUCAGGCCGAAAGCACGGAGACCAACCUGCCACCUCGUCCCCAGAUCCCACCACCCCGUGCUAAAAACCUUUGUGCCAACGUAAGACCUUCACCGGCCUUAGCAUGUCUGCUUGGCUUUGCGUGGUGAGAAGGAAGAACGAUGAGAGACGUCGCCGACGGCAUUGUGGUGUUCAAGUUUUCCCCUUCCAGACCCCCUCACAUUCCCUAUUUCCCAGCGGGCGCAAAGCAGCUCCGUCCCUCAUUGCGUCGUGCAGCAGAACCCGCAUGGACAGAUGGCUGCUCCCCUCCUCGCCGGGGAGCUUCAAAAAAUAACACCAAAAUGACACCCA